GUAAAAUAUGUUUCUGAGUGUUUCCACGUCCAAAUCAGGUUUCAGAAAACUGUGAGGGUGAAAUAAAUUGUCUGAAGUUCUUUGACAGUCAAGAAUAGUUUUUAAACAACUUUUUGUUGUCAUAAACUCAUACAGAAAAGUACUUAAAAUAUAAAUAUAUAGCUUAACCAAGUUCUUAUAAGCAAAUAUGAAUUUAGCCAUCAUCCUUGUCAUGAGAGCAUUACUAGUGCCUCAGAGCUCUUUACAUUCCUCUUUCCAGUCACAAUUACCUCUCAUCCCCUAAAGCUAAUUACUAUUUUUACUUGGGUAAUCAUAGUCACUUCCUUGACUUUUCUUUUAAACUUUCAUCAUAGUAGCUCUACCUUAAUACAAUAGUUUAAUUUUGCCUUUUUUCAAACUAGAAUCAUAGAGUAUAUUUGUCUUGUUUCUUUAACCCAACAUUGGGUUUGUGAGAUGCCAAUUUGUUGUCUCUUAGUAUGGUAUUGAUAAUAAAUUUUAAAAUGUAAUAGGAACCUGUCCUAAAAGAUGUUUUUAUGAUUCCUAAAAGUCCAUGCAAUUUUUCUUUAAUACUCAUAAUACCUCAUAAUCUUUGGUUCUUUUUUUUUAAUUCUUGGCUCUGCUGUGGAUAGACUGAAUCAGAGCCUCAUACAUGCUAGGCAACUGCUUUACCACUGAGCAUGAUUAUAUUUUUUAAAAUAAUCUUUGAUUUUGUUAUUAAAAGGGGGGAUAUAUACUCAUUGGGUUCACUGAAUGGAUA
rnacentral:lncRNA from 1 species